rnacentral:rRNA from 1 species
UGGGGAAUAUGGACAAUGGGCGAAAGUGAUCCACCAUGCCGCGUGUGUGAAGAAGGCCUUUUGGUUGUAAAGCACUUUAAGUGGGGAGGAAAAGCUUAUGGUUAAUACCCAUAAGCCCUGACGUUACCCACAGAAUAAGCACCGGCUAACUCUGUGCCAGCAGCCGCGGUAAUACAGAGGGUGCAAGCGUUAAUCGGAAUUACUGGGCGUAAAGCGCGCGUAGGUGGUUAUUUAAGUCAGAUGUGAAAGCCCCGGGCUUAACCUGGGAACUGCAUCUGAUACUGGAUAACUAGAGUAGGUGAGAGGGGAGUAGAAUUCCAGGUGUAGCGGUGAAAUGCGUAGAGAUCUGGAGGAAUACCGAUGGCGAAGGCAGCUCCCUGGCAUCAUACUGACACUGAGGUGCGAAAGCGUGGGUAGCAAACAGGAUUAGAUACCCUGGUAGUCCACGCCGUAAACGAUGUCUACCAGUCGUUGGGUCUUUUAAAGACUUAGUGACGCAGUUAACGCAAUAAGUAGACCGUCUGGGGAGUACGGCCGCAAGGUUA